UACGGAGGAUGCAAGCGUUAUCCGGAAUCAUUGGGCGUAAAGCGUCCGCAGGUGGUGCUUCAAGUCUGCUGUUAAAGCCCGGGGCUUAACCCUGGAGGAGCAGUGGAAACUGGGGCGCUGGAGUGCGGUAGGGGUAGAGGGAAUUCCCGGUGUAGCGGUGAAAUGCGUAGAUAUCGGGAAGAACACCAGUGGCGAAAGCGCUCUGCUGGACCGCAACUGACACUCAUGGACGAAAGCUAGGGGAGCGAAUGGGAUUAGAUACCCCAGUAGUCCUAGCCGUAAACGAUGGACACUAGGUGUUGCACGUAUCGACCCGUGCAGUGCCGUAGCCAACGCGUUAAGUGUCCCGCCUGGGGAGU
rnacentral:rRNA from 1 species